rnacentral:lncRNA from 1 species
AAGACAGUUUUACAGAUACUGUAUACAGAUUUUUUUUUCCCAUUCAUGCAACUUUUUUUUCUUAAAAAAGUUAAAACAUGUGAAGCCAAAAUGUACAAUACACUGUUUUUUAAUAUGAACUCAUUUUUUUCUGGUCCUCCUUCACAUCUGUUUACAUUUCCCAUGUACAUAAUGUGCUAGGACAAGUAUAUUGAGAGAAGACUGAUUGCCAGGCAAUGAGAUAAAAUUUUAGAGAAAGAAGUGACCAGACACACAUUUGUGGUUUUUUUGUUUUGUUUUUUUUUUCGUUUUAAAGCAGCCGCACAAAUAUUUUUGGAGUGUGGCAGAAGCCUUGGAACCAAUCAUUCAUCAAAGAAAAAUACAUAAAAAUAAAACUAUGAGGAAAAUACUUCAUUCAUUCAAACUGCAUAAAAGAUUACCCACUAGAGAUCUAGAGCAAAUAUAAUACACAGUCAUCCUUCGGUAUCCAUGGGGGAUUGGUUGCAGGACCCCCCCAGAUAACCCAAAUCUGUGGAGGCCCAAGUCCCUUACGUAAAAUGGCACAGUACAGCAGAUUCAGUGAAAGGCAGGGUGAAAUCAACCGGGCGGUUGCUCAGACACGACAACCCAAGCGGGGCAGGAGAGACAAGUGACAACACCAAAUGGAACUUUUAUUAUGCUAGGAGCUGUUAUCGCCACCAACAUCACCCCCAGAGGGACUGUGGAGCAAAGGUGCACAAGGGGGCUCCUGGGGGCCGGUGACGGGUGCAGGGGGUCGGGUGGCACGUCUGUGCUGGUGGAAGGGAGGCGGUGCCCAGUGCAGGGGGCGAGUGUCAGCGAGAACUCAUGCAGGGAGGUCUGUGCUGAAAUACUAGCCUGUAUUCCUAACAUUCAUGCAGAAUGUUCCAUUUUGUCCUGUACAUGAUAAAAUAUAUUUAUACAUUUAUAUGUCUAGUGCUUUUUAUGCAAAGAAAAAGAGUCUUCAUAUAUCACUUUGGAGAAGUAGGCAUAUGCUGUGCUAAUCAGAGCGUCAUUAUACAGGUUUCAAAUGUACCAAAGGU